UACAUCUUGCUAGUACAUGGGCCAAUUGAAAGGUGACAAAACUUUGAGUUGAUUGGGUACAUGACAGUUGUUUUGAAAGAAAGAGGCAUGUAAAGCCUUAUCUUAAAAAUAAAAAUAAAUGGAGCACAUAUGUACGAGGUGUUAGAAGCACAAUCAACAACAAUUGAGGAUAAAAAAAUAACACUUUCGUUAAUUGCAAAAUCAAAAACCUUAAUCUCCACUCAUCUCGA
rnacentral:lncRNA from 1 species